rnacentral:rRNA from 1 species
UACGGGGGGGGGCAAGCGUUGUUCGGAAUUACUGGGCGUAAAGGGCUCGUAGGUGGCCAACUAAGUCAGACGUGAAAUCCCUCAGCUUAACUGGGGAACUGCGUCUGAUACUGGAUGGCUUGAGUUUGGGAGAGGGAUGCGGAAUUCCAGGUGUAGCGGUGAAAUGCGUAGAUAUCUGGAGGAACACCGGUGGCGAAGGCGGCAUCCUGGACCGGUAUUGACGCGUGAGGAGCGAAAGCCAGGGGAGCAAAGCGGG